rnacentral:rRNA from 1 species
AUUGAACGCUGGCGGUAGGCUUAACACAUGCAAGUCGAGCGGUAACAGUCCUUCGGGAGCUGACGAGCGGCGGACGGGUGAGUAACGCGUAGAAAACUGCCCGGUAGUGGAGGAUAGCCCAGAGAAAUUUGGAUUAAUACUGCAUACGCUCUACGGAGGAAAGCGGGCUUCGGCUCGCGCUAUCGGAUGUGUCUGCGUGAGAUUAGCUAGUUGGUGAGGUAAUGGCUCACCAAGGCGACGAUCUCUAGCUGGUCUGAGAGGAUGAUCAGCCACACUGGGACUGAGACACGGCCCAGACUCCUACGGGAGGCAGCAGUGGGGAAUAUUGCACAAUGGGGGAAACCCUGAUGCAGCCAUACCGCGUGUGUGAAGAAGGCCUUCGGUUGG